AACGAACGCUGGCGGCAUACCUAACACAUGCAAGUCGAACGAAGGCUUCGGCCUUAGUGGCGCACGGGUGCGUAACGCGUGGGAAUCUGCCCUUUGCUUCGGAAUAACAGUUAGAAAUGACUGCUAAUACCGGAUGAUGUCGCAAGACCAAAGAUUUAUCGGCAAAGGAUGAGCCCGCGUAGGAUUAGCUAGUUGGUGGGGUAAAGGCCUACCAAGGCGACGAUCCUUAGCUGGUCUGAGAGGAUGAUCAGCCACACUGGGACUGAGACACGGCCCAGACUCCUACGGGAGGCAGCAGUGGGGAAUAUUGGACAAUGAGCGAAAGCCUGAUACAGCAAUGCCGCGUGAGUGAUGAAGGCCUUAGGGUUGUAAAGCUCUUUUAACCGGGAUGAUAAUGACAGUACCGGGAGAAUAAGCGCCGGCUAACUCCGUG
rnacentral:rRNA from 1 species